GACGAACGCUGGCGGCGUGCUUAACACAUGCAAGUCGAACGGAAAGGCCUGCUUUCCCUUGUGGAUUGCGGGUACUCGAGUGGCGAACGGGUGAGUAACACGUGAGUGAUCUGCCCCCAACUUGGGUAUAAGCCUGGGAAACUGGGUCUAAUUCCCGAUAGGACUGCAGGGUGGUGCCUGUGGUGGAAAACGAUUUUCUAGUGGUUGGGGAUGAGCUCGCGGCCUAUCAGCUUGUUGGUGGGGUAAUGGCCUACCAAGGCGGCGACGGGUAGCCGGCCUGAGAGGGUGGACGGCCACAUUGGGACUGAGAUACGGCCCAGACUCCUACGGGAGGCAGCAGUGGGGAAUAUUGAACAAUGGGCGGAAGCCUGAUGCAGCGAGGCCGAGUGGGGGAUGACGGCCUUCGGGUUGUAAACUCCUUUCGACCGCGAGGAAGCCACCUGGUUGGAAGGGUGGUGACGGUAGUGGUAGAAGAAGCACCGGCUAACUACGUG
rnacentral:rRNA from 1 species